GGAAGGCAGCAGGCGCGCAAAUUACCCACUCCCGGCACGGGGAGGUAGUGACGAAAAAUAACGAUACGGGACUCAUCCGAGGCCCCGUAAUCGGAAUGAGAACACUUUAAACCCUUUAACGAGUAUCCAUUGGAGGGCAAGUCUGGUGCCAGCAGCCGCGGUAAUUCCAGCUCCAAUAGCGUAUAUUAAAGUUGUUGCGGUUAAAAAGCUCGUAGUUGGAUGUGUGUCCCACGCUGUCGGUUCACCGUUCGUCGGUGUUUAACUGGCAUGCCCGUGUGGACGUCCUGCCGGUGGAUGCGGUCGGCCGUGGGCUUCGGUCUGCGCGCCGGCGGUCCGAUGCAAUCCUACCGCGGUGCUCUUCACCGAGUGUCGAGGUGGGCCGGCACGUUUACUUUGAACAAAUUAGAGUGCUCAAAGCAGGCAGUGGUUCGCCUGAAUAUUGUGUGCAUGGAAUAAUGGAAUAGGACCUCGGUUCUAUUUUGUUGGUUUUCGGAACUUGAGGUAAUGAUUAAUAGGGACAGAUGGGGGCAUUCGUAUUGCGACGUUAGAGGUGAAAUUCUUGGAUCGUCGCANGACGAACCUAAGCGAAAGCAUUUGCCAUAAAUGUUUUCAUUAAUCAAGAACGAAAGUUAGAGGUUCGAAGGCGAUCAGAUACCGCCCUAGUUCUAACCAUAAACGAUGCCAGCUAGCGAUCCGCCGAAGUUCCUCCGAUGACUCGGCGGGCAGCUUCCGGGAAACCAAAGCUUUUGGGUUCCGGGGGAAGUAUGGUUGCAAAGCUGAAACUUAAAGGAAUUGACGGAAGGGCACCACCAGGAGUGGAGCCUGCGGCUUAAUUUGACUCAACACGGGAAACCUCACCAGGCCCGGACACCGGAAGGAUUGACAGAUUGAGAGCUCUUUCUUGAUUCGGUGGAUGGUGGUGCAUGGCCGUUCUUAGUUGGUGGAGCGAUUUGUCUGGUU
rnacentral:rRNA from 1 species